rnacentral:lncRNA from 1 species
UCAAUUCCAGGAUCCCACAAAUCUGGCAUUCCCUUCUUCCAGGAUCCCAUAAUUUUCAGAUUUCAUUAUUCCAUGACUUCAGGAUCCCAUAAAUCUGGUAUUUUCUAGGAUUCCUUAAUUCUUGGAUUUUGUUUUUCCAGGACUCCACAAUUCCAGGAUCCCAUAAACCUGACAUUUUCUUUCUCUAGGAUCCCAUCAUUCUUGGAUUUUGUUAUUCCAAAUCUCCACAAUUCCAGCAUCCCAUAAAUCUGACAUUCUCUUUUUCUAGAGUCCCAUAAUUGCAGGAUUUCAUUUUUCCAGGACCCCACAAUUCCAGGAUCCCAUAAAUCUGACAUUCCCUUUUGUUCCCAGUUUGUUCCCAGUUUGUUCCCAGUCCUUCCCAGUUUGCUCCCAGUCAUUCCCAGUCAUUCCCAGUUUGCUCCCAGUCAUUCCCAGUUUGCUCCCAGUUUAUUCCCAGUUUGCUCCCAGUUUGCUCCCAGUUUGUUCCUAGGCAUUCCCAGUUUGCUCCUAGUUUAUUCCCAGUUUGUUCCCAGUCCUUCCCAGUUUGUUCUCAGUCAUUCCCAGUUUGCUCCCAGUCAUUCCCAGUUGUUCCCAGUUUGCUCCCAGUUUGCUCCCAGUCAUUCCCAGUUUAUUCCCAGUUUGCUCCCAGUUUGUUCCCAGUCCUUCCCAGUUUGUUCCUAGUCAUUCCCAGUUUGUUCCCAGUCAUUCCCAGUUUGCUCCCAGUCAUUCCCAGUUUGUUCCCAGUCAUUCCCAGUUUGUUCCCAGUUUGUUCCCAGUCAUUGCCAGUCAUUCCCAGUCAUUCCCAGUCGUUCCCAGUUUGCUCCCAGUUUGCUGCCAGUCAUUCCCAGUUUGCUCCCAGUCAUUCCCAGUGGUUCCCAGUUUGCUCCCAGUUUAACCCUGUCGGUCCCGGGCAGAUAUCGUGAACACGGCGCGCCC